rnacentral:rRNA from 1 species
GACGAACGCUGGCGGCGUGCUUAACACAUGCAAGUCGAACGGAAAGGCCCUGCUUUUGUGGGGUGCUCGAGUGGCGAACGGGUGAGUAACACGUGAGUAACCUGCCCUUGACUUUGGGAUAACUUCAGGAAACUGGGGCUAAUACCGGAUAGGAGCUCCUGCUGCAUGGUGGGGGUGGGAAAGUUUCGGCGGUUGGGGAUGGACUCGCGGCUUAUCAGCUUGUUGGUGGGGUAGUGGCUUACCAAGGCUUUGACGGGUAGCCGGCCUGAGAGGGUGACCGGCCACAUUGGGACUGAGAUACGGCCCAGACUCCUACGGGAGGCAGCAGUGGGGAAUAUUGCACAAUGGGCGGAAGCCUGAUGCAGCAACGCCGCGUGCGGGAUGACGGCCUUCGGGUUGUAAACCGCUUUCGCCUGUGACGAAGCGUGAGUGACGGUAAUGUGUAAAGAAGCACCGGCUAACUACGUG